GCACCACGAGGAAGAGCAGGUUGUUCCUGUGUUGUGCAGAGACCUUGCUUGUUGGAGUGCUGGUGUCUGUUCCUGGCAGCAAUGACAAGGCCGAGUGCAGGAACAAGGAGGUGCUCUGGUACAAACCACUUGUCUGAAGUAAACAAUGUCUUUUAGGACUUUCCUGGUAUCUGAGGCACCUGCUGUUUAGAUCUACAGCAGACCUGCUGACAACGCUCAUUAUUCUGUGGUAAAUGAUACUCAAAUGUUCUGCAGCAGCAGGAAA